UCUCGCGGCGAAAAACCUAUAACUUGUGCAUGUACAAAUUAAGGAUAUUUGCAGCGCUUUGAAGAAGUUAACAGCUUUGGCAAGUAUCAGUUUAUCAGAGAUACUCCCAAGGAAGAAUUGAAUUCCAAGCCACUGUCUGGGUUAAUUGGUGCUCUCCUAUACAAGAAAGACUUUGGCAGCAACACAUCUCAGAUGACAGCUAGAAAAGAGUUGUAUUGCAUAGCACCAAAAUGACAUUAUGACCUGAUGCCAGUUGAUUUCAAUUCUGAACUUUACUACUACUAGACAUUAAAUCGUCACAAGAUUGUUCAUGUACAUUAUGUAUAUGCCACAUGCAGUCAGUCACCAUUUUGCUUGAGCAAAUAAAAAAAAUAAGAUUUUGAAUAAAACUGUUGUAUUAAUUUUUUUGUUGUACCUGCAAUUUUGCCUCUUAAGGUGGUGCUUCUGCCUGUAUAUGGGGCAAGAAAGAUGAUGUGAUCUUUUCUUUGAUUCCCACCAUAUGCAUUAAAAAACUUCAUUAUAUAA